CCUUCCAAGGAGCGUUGCAGCGGGCCACACAACCCGUCAGGCUUGGAUAUACACAACGACGCUCACCUGAC
rnacentral:ncRNA from 1 species